rnacentral:rRNA from 1 species
CGGAGCUUGCUCUGUGGGAUCAGUGGCGAACGGGUGAGUAACACGUGAGCAACCUGCCCCUGACUCUGGGAUAAGCGCUGGAAACGGCGUCUAAUACUGGAUACGAGUAGCGGCCGCAUGGUCAGUUACUGGAAAGAUUUUUUGGUUGGGGAUGGGCUCGCGGCCUAUCAGCUUGUUGGUGAGGUAAUGGCUCACCAAGGCGUCGACGGGUAGCCGGCCUGAGAGGGUGACCGGCCACACUGGGACUGAGACACGGCCCAGACUCCUACGGGAGGCAGCAGUGGGGAAUAUUGCACAAUGGGCGAAAGCCUGAUGCAGCAACGCCGCGUGAGGGAUGACGGCCUUCGGGUUGUAAACCUCUUUUAGCAGGGAAGAAGCGAAAGUGACGGUACCUGCAGAAAAAGCGCCGGCUAACUACGUGCCAGCAGCCGCGGUAAUACGUAGGGCGCAAGCGUUAUCCGGAAUUAUUGGGCGUAAAGAGCUCGUAGGCGGUUUGUCGCGUCUGCUGUGAAAUCCCGAGGCUCAACCUCGGGCCUGCAGUGGGUACGGGCAGACUAGAGUGCGGUAGGGGAGAUUGGAAUUCCUGGUGUAGCGGUGGAAUGCGCAGAUAUCAGGAGGAACACCGAUGGCGAAGGCAGAUCUCUGGGCCGUAACUGACGCUGAGGAGCGAAAGGGUGGGGAGCAAACAGGCUUAGAUACCCUGGUAGUCCACCCCGUAAACGUUGGGGAACUAGUUGUGGGGUCCAUUCCA